CCCCGGGGCUCAGGUGCCGCCGUCCCCCAGCGCCAGCUUUGCUUUGCUUCGCCGCCCCCCUGUCGCUCCCCCCGGAGCUGCCCCGAGUCGUCGUUUGCCUUUUUUUCCUUUAUUUUCGAGAGGCUGGAGAAGCCCGUGGUAGGUUUGUAGCCCAAGGCCGUAGCUGACCGGAGCCCGCCGCGCCGGCGGGGGUGGAUCCCUCCCAUCCUUAGCGUCCCCCGACCCCCUCUUCCGGUAAAAUAAACCCAGAAUUUUUAACAAAUGG